rnacentral:rRNA from 1 species
UAACGUGAGAGUUUGAUUCUGGCUCAGAACGAACGCUGGCGGCAUGCUUAACACAUGCAAGUCGAACGGUCUUAUGGGGCUUGCCUUAUAAGAUAGUGGCAUACGGGUGAGGAACACGUGGGAACGUACCCUAGGGUUUGGAAUAACAGUUGGAAACGACUGCUAAUACCAAAUAUUUCCGAGAGGAGAAAGGUUUACCGCCUUAGGAGCGGCCCGCGUCCAAUUAGGUAGUUGGUGAGGUA